UACGUAGGGUGCGAGCGUUAAUCGGAAUUACUGGGCGUAAAGCGUGCGCAGGCGGUUCUGAAAGUCAGCUGUGAAAGCCCCCGGGCUUAACCUGGGAAUUGCGGUUGAAACUACAGGGCUAGAAUCUGGCAGAGGGGGGGUGGAAUUCCACGUGUAGCAGUGAAAUGCGUAGAGAUGUGGAGGAACACCGAUGGCGAAGGCAGCCCCCUGGGCUGAGAUUGACGCUCAGGCACGAAAGCGUGGGGAGCAAACAGG
rnacentral:rRNA from 1 species